CUCUCUCUCUCUCUCUCUCUCUCUCUCUCUCUCUCUCUCUUUUGUGUGUGUGAGCGGGCGGGAACUUACGCGUUGCCAAUCAGAAUGCUAGAUAUUAUAGCACAUUAUGCUAUAUUGACCCUACUACCAGAAAGGUUGUGGCUCAUCAUGUAGUUAUAUAAAUAUUAUAAUUCUGCUAAAUAAUGAAUUUUUAAAUUGUAAAUCGCAUAAAUAGCCUUUCAUUUGUUCUUAAUUGACCGCAAUUAUGGCUUUAGCAUCAUGCGCUGAAAAUCAGCGCUCUUGACAACACUGAACUGAACAAAACAAAUCCAACAUUUUCCCGCCUAAACUGCCUCACUCGGGACUUCGUGUUGAGCGGCCAACAACAGAUUUCUCCCUGUUUUGUCUCGUUAUUGGGUUUUCCUCUCCCUCUGUUGUGCAUUAAGAGAUAUUGAAGACCCUGCUCGUGGACCAAAGGACAGUGAAAUCACCGCAAACAAGGAUGUAGAAAAGAUCAGUGUGGCUGGAGGGCAGAAAAGAAGAGGAGUGUGUGGUACCAUCUACCUGGAUAGUUGAAGGCAGCCAGAUUUUAUAUUGGCCAUCAAAAGUUGAUGCUCACAAUGCCUUAACUAGUCGAGAAGACCCAGACCCCAAAUCAUGGAGAAAAUUUCCAUUGAUAAAAGUAAAAAUAGCUUCUGACUUUGCCUCAGGGCCAUCUUUACAAGUAACAGUUGCUCCCCCCCCACCACAAAAGGUUGUCCCAUACAACCAUCAACACAAAGGCUUGCCAAGUGCAGCAAGAAAAAAAUCUGAAAAGACAUAAUUCUGACAGAUGUGAAAGUAACCGGCAAAAGAAGAGUAGUUACCAACAGCAAGAUGAAGGCAGUCAGCCUGAUACCCUACACAGCAGUUUGGACCUUCAUGACAACCACAGCCUAAGGAACAGAUCUGACCGACAGACGAGACAUGACAGCAGUGACCAACAAAGCAGACAUGACAGCAGCGAUUGACACAACAGACAUGACAGCAGUGAUUACACAGCAGACAUGACAGCAGUGACCGACACAGCAGACAUGACAGCAGUGACCAACACAGCAGACGUGACAGCAGUGACCAACACAAAAGACAUGACAGUCGUGGCCGAUGCAGCAGACUUGACAGCAGUGACCGACACAACAGACAUGACAGUCAUGACCGACACAACAGACAUGACAGCAGUGACCGACGCAGCAGGCAUGACAGUCAUGACCGACACAACAGACAUGACAGUCGUGACCGACAUGACAGCAGUGACCGACGCAGCAGGCAUGACAGUCGUGACCGACACAACAGACAUGACAACAGUGACCAAAGCAGCAGACAUGACAGCAGUGACCGACAAGGGAGCGAUUGGAUUCAGAAUCUGUCUAGUGAAGACCUUGAUGAUGUUCAACCCUUGAACCAAGGAGAAAACCGUCAAAGUGGAUUUCCUAUGGAUUGGGCAAAAUUCCAGAGGCGAGUCAUUCAUUUGUUGCUGGAUACAAGAUUGUGAAGUGUCAUCACAGACUGUUAUGAAGAAAUUCAGAGAUGUGAGUUUAACAGAAAUACACAUGAUUGCAACACAAUUGUGUAAUGCCCCAAAAAUGAAGUACGGUGUGCAAAAAAAUGUAGCAACAAGAUAUGUGUAUUCUCAAAGCAUGAACAGAAAUUUGUAUUAGUAAUUAAGAGCCACACCUGUAAUAUCAAGGCAUACUGUGUAGAACAGUCCUUGAGUUAGGGCUGAGGAGGUAAAACUAAAAUCUGAAAUCUGACUCCUUUAUUUUGAAAUAACUGCCACAAAAUGGUUGUUGAUAAUGAAACUGGCUUUAUAAUGCUACCAAGAACUCAGCUGGAGUCGGAGUCAUGGUAACUUUACUGCCUCCUGCCUCCUUUCACCCACUAUUGCUGUGACUUGACUGCAGGCCUGCCAUGAAUAACAGCAAAUUGUGAAAAUGAUGAUGUACAGUAUUGUAUUGUGGCUUUUCUUUCUCCUGAUGGAUAUUAAAUUUACAUAGUAUUAUAUUGUAUUGUGGCUUUUCUUUCUCCUGAUGGAUAUUAAAUUUACAUAGUAUUAUAUUAUGUCUCAUUGCAAUACAUACAGCAAUGCUGUAGUGCUUUAUGUUAAUUUUCUGUAUUGAUUAUUUUCUUGUUUAUCAGCAAUGCAUACCCUAUAUUGUUUAAAGAUGUAAAUGUCAUUGUAGGAUGUGUGUAUUUGCAUUCCUAAAAUCCUGUGCUUUGU